GACAGAGGGUGCAAACGUUGCUCGGAAUUACUGGGCGUAAAGCGCGUGUAGGCGGAUCGGUGUGUCGGGUGUGAAAUCCCUGGGCUCAACCCAGGAACUGCAUUCGAAACUACCGGUCUAGAGUGGUGGAGAGGGAAGUGGAAUUCCUGGUGUAGAGGUGAAAUUCGUAGAUAUCAGGAGGAACACCAGUGGCGAAGGCGGCUUCCUGGACACCAACUGACGCUGAGACGCGAAAGCGUGGGGAGCAAACAGG
rnacentral:rRNA from 1 species